UUCGAAAGAGUUGUUUGACAACCCCUGCC
rnacentral:piRNA from 1 species